rnacentral:rRNA from 1 species
AAAGCCGGAUUAAUACCGCAUACGAUCUAAGGAUGAAAGUGGGGGACCGCAAGGCCUCACGCUCCUGGAGCGGCCGAUAUCUGAUAAGCUAGUUGGUGGGGUAAAAGCCUACCAAGGCGACGAUCAGUAGCUGGUCUGAGAGGACGACCAGCCACACUGGGACUGAGACACGGCCCAGACUCCUACGGGAGGCAGCAGUGGGGAAUUUUGGACAAUGGGGGAAACCCUGAUCCAGCAAUGCCGCGUGAGUGAAGAAGGCCUUCGGGUUGUAAAGCUCUUUUGUCAGGGAAGAAACGGUUCUGGAUAAUACCCGGAACUAAUGACGGUACCUGAAGAAUAAGCACCGGCUAACUACGUGCCAGCAGCCGCGGUAAUACGUAGGGUGCAAGCGUUAAUCGGAAUUACUGGGCGUAAAGCGUGCGCAGGCGGUUGUGCAAGACAGAUGUGAAAUCCCCGGGCUUAACCUGGGAACUGCAUUUGUGACUGCACGGCUAGAGUGUGUCAGAGGGGGGUAGAAUUCCACGUGUAGCAGUGAAAUGCGUAGAUAUGUGGAGGAAUACCGAUGGCGAAGGCAGCCCCCUGGGAUAACAC